rnacentral:rRNA from 1 species
GACGAACGCUGGCGGCGUGCUUAACGCAUGCAAGUCGAACGGAAAGGCCCUGCUUUUGUGGGGUGCUCGAGUGGCGAACGGGUGAGUAACACGUGAGUAACCUGCCCUUGACUUUGGGAUAACUUCAGGAAACUGGGGCUAAUACCGGAUAGGAGCUCCUGCUGCAUGGUGGGGGUUGGAAAGUUUCGGCGGUUGGGGAUGGACUCGCGGCUUAUCAGCUUGUUGGUGGGGUAGUGGCUUACCAAGGCUUUGACGGGUAGCCGGCCUGAGAGGGUGACCGGCCACAUUGGGACUGAGAUACGGACCAGACUCCUACGGGAGGCAGCAGUGGGGAAUAUUGCACAAUGGGCGGAAGCCUGAUGCAGCAACGCCGCGUGCGGGAUGACGGCCUUCGGGUUGUAAACCGCUUUCGCCUGUGACGAAGCGUGAGUGACGGUAAUGGGUAAAGAAGCACCGGCUAACUACGUG